GUGCCAGCCGCCGCGGUAAUACGGAAGGUCCGGGCGUUAUCCGGAUUUAUUGGGUUUAAAGGGAGCGCAGGCGGGAGGCUAAGCGUGACGUGAAAUGUACCGGCUCAACCGGUGACGUGCGUCGCGAACUGGUUUUCUUGAGUGGGUACGACGCCGGCGGAAUUCGUGGUGUAGCGGUGAAACGCUUAGAUAUCACGAAGAACCCCGAUUGCGAAGGCAGCCGGCGAGUCCUCAACUGACGCUAAAGCUCGAAGGUGCGGGUAUCGAACAGGAUUAGAUACCCUGGUAGUCCGCACGGUAAACGAUGGAUGCCCGCUGUUUGCGAUAUAUUGUAAGCGGCCAAGCGAAAGCGUUAAGCAUCCCACCUGGGGAGUACGCCGGCAACGGUGAAACUCAAAGGAAUUGACGGGGGCCCGCACAAGCGGAGGAACAUGUGGUUUAAUUCGAUGAUACGCGAGGAACCUUACCCGGGCUUGAACUGCAGAGGAAUGCGGUGGAGACACCAAAGCCCUUCGGGGUCUCUGUGGAGGUGCUGCAUGGUUGUCGUCAGCUCGUGCCGUGAGGUGUCGGCUUAAGUGCCAUAACGAGCGCAACCCCUUUCGCCAGUUGCCAUCACUUCGGGUGGGCACUCUGGUGACACUGCCACCGUAAGGUGUGAGGAAGGUGGGGAUGACGUCAAAUCAGCACGGCCCUUACGUCCGGGGCUACACACGUGUUACAAUGGGGAGUACAGAGAGUCGAGUGCCGGCAACGUCACUCCAAUCCAUAAAGCUCUCCUCAGUUCGGAUUGGGGUCUGCAACCCGACCCCAUGAAGCUGGAUUCGCUAGUAAUCGCGCAUCAGCCAUGGCGCGGUGAAUACGUUCCCGGGCCUUGUACACACCGCCCGU
rnacentral:rRNA from 1 species